AUUGAACGCUGUCGUCAGCCCUAACACAUGCAAGUCGACCGAGUGGCGGACGGGUGUGUCAUGUCUGGGAAACUGCCUGUUCGACGGGGGUACCUACCUGUAACGGUAGCUAAUACCGCAUACCCUCUUAUGUGCCCAGAUGGGCGUAGCUAGUAGGUGGGGUAACGUCUAACCUAGGCGACGAUCCCUAGCUGGUCUGAGAGGGUGACCAGCCCCACUGGAACUGAGACACUGUCCAGACUCGUACGGGAGGCGGCGGUGGGGAAUAGUGCACAGUGGGCGCAAGCCGCAUACGGCCAGGUCGCGUGUAGGUAGAAGGCCGUCUGGUGUUAAAGUUAGUUCAGCGGGGAUGCGUUGGCCGCAGAAGAAGCACCGUCUAGCUCCGUACCAGCAGCCGCGGUAAUAC
rnacentral:rRNA from 1 species